rnacentral:rRNA from 1 species
CCUACGGGAGUCUGCAGUGAGGAAUAUUUGUCCAUGGGCGCGAGCCUGAACCAGCCAAGUAGCGUGAAGGAUGACUGCCCUACGGGUUGUAAACUUCUUUUAUAAAGGAAUAAAUUGAGGCACGGGUGCCUUAUUGUAUGUACUUUAUGAAUAAGGAUCGGCUAACUCCGUGCCAGCUGCCGAGGUAAUACGGAGGAUCCGAGCGUUAACCGGAUUUAUUGGGGUUAAAGGGAGCGUAGAUGGGUUGGUAAGUUAGUUGUGAAAUUUUGCGGCUCAACCGUAAUAUUGCAAUUGAUACUGGCAGCCUUGAGUACAGUUGAGGUAGGCGGAAUUCGUGGUGUAGCGGUGAAAUGCUUAGAUAUCACGAAGAACUCCGAUUGCGAAGGCAGCUUACUAAACUGCCACUGACAUUGAUGCUCGAAAGUGUGGGUAUCAAACAGGAUUAGAUACCCCUGUAGUC